AAUAGUAAAAUCUGCUCAAUGAAAUAUUAAAUAGCCGCAAUUGUGCUAAGGUAGUAUAAUAACUUGUCUUUUAAUUAAAGACCAAUCAAAAGAUUUAACAACUAAAUUAAUUUCCAAAUAAUAAAUAUUAAAAUUAUUUUAAUUGUAAAAAAACAAUUAUAAAAAAAAAAGACGACAAGACCCUAUCGAACUUAACUUAAGUUAAACUGGGGUAGUUAAUAAAUUAUUAUUUUUUUUUUAUUAAAAACAACAAUGAUCUAAUAUUAUUAAUUAAAUAAUUAAGUUACCGUAGGGAUAACAGCGUAAUAAAAUUUUUUAGAUCUUAUUAUAAAUAAAGUUUACGACCUCGAUGUUGAAUUAAUAAACUAAUUUCAACGCAAUAGUUAAUUAAGUAAGUCUGUUCGACUUUUAAAUAAUUACAUGAUCUGAGUUCAAA
rnacentral:rRNA from 1 species